AGUCAUGGACAGCAAAAAUGCCAGCUUUUUCAUUGGUAAGUAUUUUUUAAAUGACAUUUUACACUGCCAUUCAACAAGAAACUGUUUAUUUAUAUUAUUUUGAAAGUAUAUUAUGGGUGUUAUAUCAGCGAAUAGGGUUCACAACGCAAUUGUGUUAUUAAGCUGCAUUGUUUGGGAGAUUAGGACUGUUAUUUUUUAUAAGUGUACAAUCUGAACAGCUUUUUAAUAGGAAAUCGUUUUAACUUAAAUAAGCAUUGCUUUAAUGAUGCUUGGUUAUGCCCUCUCUGUGACAGAGCGCGAGUGUCUGUAAAUGUACAGUGUUAUUAUCAGUAUUUUAUUCUCAGCGGGAGUUUGGUGUAUGAAGGAGUUAACGUCCCCUCCCCCUCGCUGCUGCGCCACUCUGUGUUUCAUAUGCGUUACUGCUGCUUCACUUUGCGUGUCUGAGGGCCACUGAAGUAGCAUCUGGUGGGUCUAUACUGGAAACAACAUACACUGCUAGUGAAGAAGUUCCAUUCAGUCUAAGACACAUCCUCUGAGUAAUCUGAAUGCUUUCAUCUUACCUGUAGACAAGAAGCAAAUCCUCCCAGUCCUGCCCGUCUGUGAAAACUUUC